AUUGAACGCUGGCGGCAUGCCUUACACAUGCAAGUCGAACGGUAACAGGUCUUCGGAUGCUGACGAGUGGCGAACGGGUGAGUAAUACAUCGGAACGUGCCUAGUAGUGGGGGAUAACUACUCGAAAGAGUGGCUAAUACCGCAUGAGAUCUACGGGUGAAAGCAGGGGAUCGCAAGACCUUGUGCUACUAGAGCGGCCGAUGGCAGAUUAGGUAGUUGGUGGGAUAAAAGCUUACCAAGCCGACGAUCUGUAGCUGGUCUGAGAGGACGAUCAGCCACACUGGGACUGAGACACGGCCCAGACUCCUACGGGAGGCAGCAGUGGGGAAUUUUGGACAAUGGGCGCAAGCCUGAUCCAGCAAUGCCGCGUGCAGGAUGAAGGCCUUCGGGUUGUAAACUGCUUCUGUACGGAACGAAAAGCCCCGGGUUAAUACCCUGGGGUCAUGACGGUACCGUAAGAAUAAGCACCGGCUAACUACGUGCCAGCCGCCGCUGUAA
rnacentral:rRNA from 1 species